rnacentral:tRNA from 1 species
GGGCCGGUAGCUUAGUCAGGCAGAGCGAUAGACUCUUAAUCUAUAGGUCGAGGGUUCAAAUCCCUUCCGGCCCG